rnacentral:rRNA from 1 species
UAGCUAGUUGGUGAGGUAAAGGCUCACCAAGGCGACGAUCUGUAGCGGGUCUGAGAGGAUAAUCCGCCACACUGGAACUGAGACACGGUCCAGACUCCUACGGGAGGCAGCAGUGGGGAAUUUUGGACAAUGGGGGCAACCCUGAUCCAGCCAUGCCGCGUGAGUGAAGAAGGCCUUCGGGUUGUAAAGCUCUUUCGGCCGGGAAGAAAUCGCAUGGGCCAAUACCCUGUGCGGAUGACGGUACCGGCAUAAGAAGCACCGGCUAACUACGUGCCAGCAGCCGCGGUAAUACGUAGGGUGCGAGCGUUAAUCGGAAUUACUGGGCGUAAAGCGUGCGCAGGCGGUUUUGUAAGACAGGCGUGAAAUCCCCGGGCUCAACCUGGGAACUGCGUUUGUGACUGCAAGGCUAGAGUACGGCAGAGGGGGGUGGAAUUCCACGUGUAGCAGUGAAAUGCGUAGAGAUGUGGAGGAACACCAAUGGCGAAGGCAGCCCCCUGGGUCGAUACUGACGCUCAUGCACGAAAGCGUGGGUAGCAAACAGGAUUAGAUACCCUGGUAGUCCACGCCCUAAACGAUGUCAACUAGGUGUUGGGUGGGUAAAACCAUUUAGUACCGGAGCUAACGCGUGAAGUUGACCGCCAGGGGAGUACGGCCGCAAGGUUAAAACUCAAAGGAAUUGACGGGGACCCGCACAAGCGGUGGAUGAUGUGGAUUAAUUCGAUGCAACGCGAAAAACCUUACCUACCCUUGACAUGUCCAGAAGCCUGAAGAGAUUUGGGUGUGCCCGAAAGGGAACUGGAACACAGGUGCUGCAUGGCUGUCGUCAGCUCGUGUCGUGAGAUGUUGGGUUAAGUCCCGCAACGAGCGCAACCCUUGUCGUUAAUUGCCAUCAUUCAGUUGGGCACUUUAACGAGACUGCCGGUGACAAACCGGAGGAAGGUGGGGAUGACGUCAAGUCCUCAUGGCCCUUAUGGGUAGGGCUUCACACGUCAUACAAUGGUCGGUACAAAGGGUUGCCAAGCCGCGAGGUGGAGCCAAUCCCAGAAAGCCGAUCGUAGUCCGGAUCGUAGGCUGCAACUCGCCUGCGUGAAGUCGGAAUCGCUAGUAAUCGUGGAUCAGCAUGUCACGGUGAAUACGUUCCCGGGUCUUGUACACACCGCCCGUCACACCAUGGGAGCGGGUUCCGCCAGAAGUAGGUAGCCUAACCGCAAGGGGGGCGCUUACCACGGCGGGGUUCGUGACUGGGGUGAAGUCGUAACAAGGUAGCCGUAGGGGAACCUGCGGCUG